AGCCGAGAGCCGUGUGGUGGAUUC
rnacentral:siRNA from 1 species